rnacentral:rRNA from 1 species
GACGAACGCUGGCGGCGUGCCUAAUACAUGCAAGUUGAGCGAUGAAGAUUGGUGCUUGCACCAAUUUGAAGAGCAGCGAACGGGUGAGUAACGCGUGGGGAAUCUGCCUUUGAGCGGGGGGCAACAUUUGGAAACGAAUGCUAAUACCGCAUAACAACUUUAAACAUAAGUUUUAAGUUUGAAAGAUGCAAUUGCAUCACUCAAAGAUGAUCCCGCGUUGUAUUAGCUAGUUGGUGAGGUAAAGGCUCACCAAGGCGAUGAUACAUAGCCGACCUGAGAGGGUGAUCGGCCAACUUGGGACUGAGACACGGCCCAAACUCCUACGGGAGGCAGCAGUAGGGAAUCUUCGGCAAUGGACGAAAGUCUGACCGAGCAACGCCGCGGGAGUGAAGAAGGGUUUCGGAUCGUAAAACUCUGUUGGUAGAGAAGAACGUUGGUGAGAGUGGAAAGCUCAUCAAGUGACGGUAACUACCCAGAAAGGGACGGCUAACUACGUG